rnacentral:rRNA from 1 species
AGAGUUUGAUCCUGGCUCAGAUUGAACGCUGGCGGCAUGCCUAACACAUGCAAGUCGAACGGAAACGAUGCUAGCUUGCUAGCAGGCGUCGAGUGGCGGACGGGUGAGUAAUAUAUAGGGAUCUGCCUAAUAGUGGGGGACAACGUGUGGAAACGCACGCUAAUACCGCAUACGCUCUAUGGAGGAAAGUGGGGGAUCUUCGGACCUCAUGCUAUUAGAUGAACCUAUAUCGGAUUAGCUUGUUGGUGAGGUAAUGGCUCACCAAGGCGACGAUCCGUAGCUGGUUUGAGAGAAUGAUCAGCCACACUGGGACUGAGACACGGCCCAGACUCCUACGGGAGGCAGCAGUGGGGAAUAUUGCACAAUGGACGAAAGUCUGAUGCAGCAAUGCCGCGUGUGUGAAGAAGGCCUUCGGGUUGUAARSCAYYUUCAGGAGUGUGAGGAAAAGCCAMCCUUGUUAAUACUAGGUUGCCGGUGACGUUAACAUCAGAAGAAGGACCGGCUAACUCCGUGCCAGCAGCCGCGGUAAUACGGAGGGUCCAAGCGUUAAUCGGAAUUACUGGGCGUAAAGCGCGCGUAGGCGGAUAAUUAAGUCAGAUGUGAAAUCCCUGGGCUCAACCUAGGAACUGCAUUUGAUACUGGUUAUCUAGAGUAUGGUAGAGGUGAGUGGAAUUUCAGGUGUAGCGGUGAAAUGCGUAGAGAUCUGAAGGAACAUCAGUGGCGAAGGCGACUCACUGGGCCAUUACUGACGCUGAGGUGCGAAAGCGUGGGUAGCAAACAGGAUUAGAUACCCUGGUAGUCCACGCCCUAAACGAUGUCAACUAGGUGUGUGAGAGUCUAACUCUUGCGUAUCGAAGCUAACGCGAUAAGUUGACCGCCUGGGGAGUACGGUCGCAAGACUAAAACUCAAAUGAAUUGACGGGGGCCCGCACAAGCGGUGGAGCAUGUGGUUUAAUUCGAUGCAACGCGAAGAACCUUACCUGGCCUUGACAUGUAGUGAACUUACCAGAGAUGGUUUGGUGCYUUCGGGAACACUAACACAGGUGCUGCAUGGCUGUCGUCAGCUCGUGUCGUGAGAAUGUUGGGKURAGUCCCGCAACGAGCGCAACCCCUGUCCUUAGUUGCCAUCAUUUAGUUGGGCACUCUAAGGAGACUGCCGGUGACAAACCGGAGGAAGGUGGGGAUGACGUCAAGUCAUCAUGGCCCUUAUGGCCAGGGCUACACACGUGCUACAAUGGCUAGUACAAAGGGUUGCCAACUCGCGAGAGUGAGCUAAUCCCAUAAAGCUAGUCGUAGUCCGGAUUGGAGUCUGCAACUCGACUCCAUGAAGUCGGAAUCGCUAGUAAUCGCGGAUCAGAAUGCCGCGGUGAAUACGUUCCCGGGCCUUGUACACACCGCCCGUCACACCAUGGGAGUGGGUUGCAAAAGAAGUGGGUAGACUAACCUUCGGGAGGUCGCUCACCACUUUGUGAUUCAUGACUGGGGUGAAGUCGUAACAAGGUAACC